GAAUAGAUUUUAUUUAGUCUUCUAAACUAUUUUUGGGUUUCACUCGUCUAUUUU
rnacentral:tRNA from 1 species